UACGUAGGCAGCAAGCGUUGUUCGGAAUUACUGGGCGUAAAGAGUGUGUAGGCGGUGCUCUAAGUUCGGUGUGAAAUCUCCCGGCUUAACUGGGAGGGUGCGCCGGAAACUGGAGUGCUCGAGCGUGGGAGAGGGAAAGCGGAAUUCCUGGUGUAGCGGUGAAAUGCGUAGAUAUCGUAAGGAAGACCAGUGGCGAAGGCGGGUCGUCUGG
rnacentral:rRNA from 1 species